AUUAAAAUCAAAAGAAAAUUAAUAAUUUUCUCUCUCUAAAAUCAAAAACCCCAAAACUUCUUCGAGUGAUUAAUCUACCCUAAACCAAAACCCAUCUUCGAAUCAUUCAUUUUUAUGAUUUUUGUUCGACAAAACGAAUCAUCAUCAAGAAGAGCGACAGCAACAAGUUUCUUCCCAUAAACAACCCAAAAAAGAAUUCUAUUUUCCUGUCAAAUCUUUUAAUCCGAUUUGGAAUCUGGCUUCAGAUUAAUGCAUUACCCAUAAAAUGUUUUCGUAGUCAAAUCAUUUGCAGAUUACAAUUUUCCGAUCUAACGGAGGAAAUCAUAUUGUAACUGUAAAAUUCCGUUAAUCCGGAAAAUGGAGCAUAAUGAUUUUGAUUUGUUGAUUUGGUCAUGGCCUUAUUGGGUUCUUUCAGGAAAAGGCAAAGCAAGCACUAAGCUGAAGGAAGAACCUAUCUGAGAAGAGAUGCGCACUAUACAGUGAGAGACAUACUGAAUGAAAUGGAUGUUAAUACUGUGAGUAGUUCUUGCACUGGCAGUUUUUGUUAUUUAUUGUUUCUUUUCGGCAGUGCAUACGACCUACCAUUUAUCCCAAUGAAGUGGAGUUCUAAUUUAUAUCUAUGCUCUGCUGGAAUUCAUUUUCUUUUGCUCUAUUUCUAU